GUGGGGAAUCUUGCGCAAUGGGCGAAAGCCUGACGCAGCCAUGCCGCGUGAAUGAUGAAGGUCUUAGGAUUGUAAAAUUCUUUCACCGGGGACGAUAAUGACGGUACCCGGAGAAGAAGCUCCGGCUAACUUCGUGCCAGCAGCCGCGGUAAGACAGAGGAUGCAAGCGUUAUCCGGAAUGAUUGGGCGUAAAGCGUCUGUAGGUUGUUUAAAAAGUAUUCUGUCAAAGAUUAGGGCUUAACCCUAGAUAGGCAGAAUAAACUUUUAAGCUAGAGUUUGGUAGAGGCAGAGGGAAUUCCCGGUGGAGCGGUGAAAUGCGUAGAUAUCGGGAGGAACACCAAAGGCGAAGGCACUCUGCUGGGCCAAUACUAACACUGAGAGACGAAAGCGAGGGGAGCAAAUGGGAUUAGAUACCCGAGUAAUCC
rnacentral:rRNA from 1 species